ACUAACAGAAGCCAGUCACUCCUUGCUUUUCAUAUUCUAGCCUCCUCCUGAAUGGAAAGCUUUCUCCUGAUCACUGUUGUGAUCCUGGUGCUCUUUCCUCCGGUUACAGCUGAGCCUUCGUGUCUGCACCUGGCCCAUCUGUCCCUUGUUCCUGGGAUGGGGCUGGGACUGGUCAGUGUUGCUUAGUGUGACAAUGGUGAUUCGAAGAAGAGCGUGAGAGAAAGGGCCAGGAGGCUGCCGAGGUUUGGGCUGAGCGAUGGAAGAUGGGAUUUCUGUCUCCCCACCUUUGAGAAUGAUGCAAGGGGCAGGUUUGGGUGGGCAGAUGCCAUCAGUUGUGGACACGGUGACACAUAAUUGUUCUGAGAAGGGAUCCCAUGCCAGCUCCUGGGAGCCACUCUACGGCCUUGCCCUGGAGUAUUUAUGUGCACAUCUCCAAUGAGAUGAUCUUGGUGUCUCUCCAGCUCUGAAGUUUCCUCUGCCUGGAGCUACUCAGAGGAAUCUCCCCUGGUCCCUAGGAAGGAGACAAGUCCUGCUUGUUCCCAAAACCUUAACUGUUAUUACAGAAAGGAGGUGAUAUUAUGGUUUAUUUGCAUCAACUUGGCUGAGGCAGAGUGCUCAGAUAUUGGUCAAAUGUUAUUCUGAAUUAAAUAGGUAUUUGUUUGUUUGUUUUGGUACCGGAGAUCGAACUCAGGACCUUGCCCUUUUGAGGCAGGCAGUGGAACCACUGAGCUAAAUCCCCAUGUCAAACGUUAUUCUGGAUCUCUGUAUUUUCUAAAUGUGAGUAACAUUUAAAUCAGUGGACUUUGAAGCAAAUGACCCUCCACAGUGUGGGUGGGCUUUAUCCAACCAAUGGGAAGCUAGAAUAGAAUAAAUACUGACCUCCCUCAAACAAGGACUUCUGCCAGCGGCUGGCCUAUGGACUUGAACUGCAAAAUCUCCUUUUCCCUGGGCCCCAUAAUUACAGGGGCCAACUCUUUAAAAUCUCUCCAUUCCCCACCCCACCCUAUUGGUUCUGUUUCCUCUGCAGGACCCAGACUAAUACAGAUGGCAUAGUUGAGUCUUUUAAGAAAUAUCUGUCAGACAUAUUCCAAGGCAAAGCAGUUUGAGCCUCAGCCUAAUUUUGGCAGGAUUAACUGAAGAAUGUAAUACAGAGAAAGGAAACAAUUGGGUUUGUGUUUAGAAAGAUGCUAGGGAAGUUCCUGUGGUGAGUGGGGAGAUUGGGGGUAGGGACACCAGGGUACUUAACGAGGUGGGGAAUGAUGGAUUUGGUAGCAGUAGUGAGGAGGGAGAGGAAGGGCCAGUGUUAUUUAGGCAAGAGAGCCCUUAGAAAGCAGGACCUAGUGCAUGAGGGCUGGAGGAGGGAGUCAGGGUGAGUCUGUUCUCAAACAGUGUGGGUACAUAA